CGACCCUAUUACAUUGAAACACCGGUUCUCUUACGAUCAUCGAAGUUAAGCAACGUAGAGCCUGAUCAGUACCUAGAUGGAUAGACGCUUGGGAAUAGCAGGUGUUA